CCCAGUUACAGACUACAUUUCCCAGCAUCCCUUGAAGCUAAGUAAGUUCAUGUGCUAAAGUUCUGGGCAAUGAGAGAGGAGUAGAAGGAUAUCUUUCAUUUCUGGAUCAGCUCCUUAAAGACACUUGCCCUGGACUCUCUCCUAUUCCCUUCUUCAAUGGGCUGUAGCACAGACGUGGUAGAGACUCAGCUUUCGGUAACGCUGAUGAGCAGAUCAGGGAAUGGCAAUGCAGCAGAAAGGAAGGAAGAGACCUGUGUAUUUUAAUGACCUUCACCACCUGGACCGGCAGGACUGUAAUACCUCUGUUGGCCUACUGAAGGGAAAGAGGAAGAAAAAAAGAGUUAAGAAACAUGAUGCAAGCAAGAGAUAAAAGAAAGAAGGAAGAGGAGAAGAAAGAAGAAUCAGGAAAAAAAGUGGAGGAGAAAUAACUCACUGAAUGGUUUAGGUCAUGUGUGAAUUAUACUGGGGGGAAGUUCACAUGACCCCUAAAAUCCACUUCUGUCAAUAUGGUGGAUAUUAAGGCUAUGCUUAAGCCUGGGUCAGAAUAGGAAUUUGUCUUUAAAACUUAUGAUUCAUCCAAUAGUUGUAAUGUGGCUUACUGAAAUUUUUCUCAUCAAGAUCACCACUGACCUCCUUUUGGUUAAAAAACAGUAACCACUUAGUCAUCAAGUUCUUUAACCUGACUUGCCAACUUUCAAGAUCCUGCUUAUAACCCACUUCCUCUACAAAAUCUCCCUUGAUCUGUGUUAUUUUUCCAUUUUCUGAAUUCCUACUAUACUCACAGGAAGUAUUUCUGUUAUUUCUGCCCCUCUAAAAAGAGGCCAGAAAUGCUUACUGCUAAACACCCCAAAAUGUAUAAAACAACCCCAUACAGCAAAGAAUUGUGGUAUUUUUUUACCCCCUUCAACAAUCUGCAGAGGGCUGGUCUGUAAUAGAGUCCUGUGGUGACUGGCUACCCACCAUUUUGAGUCCAACAAUAUAGAUGGUCUCACCUUCUUCAUUUAUAUCUAUUUAUUAUGUUAUACAAUGAUGACUGAUAUUAGAAUUAUGUCCCUGGCAUGCUAGAUCUAAAUCAUAAAAAAUACACUGACAAAAUUCAUUGUCUUUCUAGUUAAGAAAAUCUAUUCAUACAUUUCAGAAAAAUUCCCAAUUGGAAGAGUUGAAGCCAAAAUCAUUUAUUUGUCCUAAUUUAACCCCCCCAAAUGCAAUUAGCAACAACCUCUUAAGUCUCUAAUAUUCAAAACAUGUGAAGAUUUACUUUCUUACUUGACGAGUUACAGGUUUGUGCUAAGGCACACCUGAAGGUACCUGCUUUCUGCUAUAUAUUUCCCAAUAUGUGCCAAGUCUCAUAGAAUAUAAGCUUAUUUUUU
rnacentral:lncRNA from 1 species